rnacentral:rRNA from 1 species
UUUGUAGAAGGUGCUUCGGGCGCGACCCCGGUCCAAGUCCCUUGGAACAGGGCGUCCUAGAGGGUGAGAAUCCCGUACGUGGCUGAUGGUCAAGCCCAUGUGAAGCCCUUUCGACGAGUCGAGUUGUUUGGGAAUGCAGCUCUAAAUGGGUGGUAAAUUUCAUCUAAAGCUAAAUAUCUGCCCGAGACCGAUAGCGCACAAGUAGAGUGAUCGAAAGAUGAAAAGCACUUUGAAAAGAGAGUCAAACAGUACGUGAAAUUGUUGAAAGGGAAGCGCUUGCAACCAGACUCGCUCGCGGGUGCUCAGCCGUCCUUAGGGGCGGUGCAUUCUCCCGCGGCCGGGCCAGCAUCGGUUUGGGCGGCCGGAUAAAGGCCCCGGGAAUGUAGCUCUCUUCGGGGAGUGUUAUCAGCCCGGGGUGCAAUGCGGCCAGCCUGGACCGAGGACCGCGCAUUCGCUAGGAUGCUGGCGUAAUGGUUGCCAGCGACCCGUCUUGAAACACGGA